AAGGCAUCGCAGGGUGGGGGGACUGGCACAAAAUGUCACAAGAAAAGAGCACCAUCACAGAGAACAUAUGGACACCACUACAGCAUCUGAACAGGGUCUAUUCCAACUGAGAGCGAAAACUGGAUUAAAUUUACUUUUGGAGCUUUGACUUGUUAUGGUCAUGCCGGAUUUAUCAAGAACACAGUCUUGGCAUAACCAGCACGAUCAGAUGACACAGGCGGACUCCUCACUGGCCGCAGCAUUGUGUAACACCAGCCAGUGCUGUGUUUAUCGUCCUGGACUCUUGGGGGAGAGGUCCUGUCCUGUCCUGGAUCAGCACAUACAGCCAAGAGAAAGAAUGCCUUGUGCUCUGAUAAAUAUUAAGAUAAGAAUCAUAAUUUGGGCCAAAGCCACACAGACUAAAAGAUAUAAAAAUGUAACUAUAGCAGGGUGUGUCCCUCUCUCUCACCUGUCCCCUCUGUGAAUGAGUGGUCCAGGCAAAGUGUUUCAUGGUCAGAGGAGGUGUAGAGGGAUCAGGGUGACAGAUGGACAGUAAGGGUGUUGGGCUGAGAAGCAAUGAGAGUGUAAAUCAGAUGUUUGAGCAUGACAGGGGGGUAAAAUAAAGAAUAACAGGGUGUCACAGUGAAAGUGGUGGUGAGAGAGUAGGCUGAUCCGCUGACAAGAGAUGCCCAAAAGUUUAGUUAAACCUACAGAAACUUCUGCUGUAAUUUCACAUACUUGACAGUGUUGGAAAAAAUAAAAGAAGAAAUCAGGGAAAAUGCAAAAGAAGGCUGCACAGAAACUGAACUAGAGAGUAAAGUUAUUCCAGAUAUGCAGGUUCAAAGAUUUGUUGACAUUUCCUAUUAUUCCUGGAACUGAGAGGUGGAAAAAGGCACAAAAUGACGCAACUGUCACCCUUUACUGUUUCUCGAAAUAAAAAAACAAAGUGCUGCCCACUUGCAGAAGUAUGUCCAACUGAUGUGAAUAUGUAUUUGUGUUUACAAGAGAACAGAACAUUUUAUUCUCUCCUCUCGAGCCACGCCCCGGAAGUGCUCAAACCUCAGCCAAGAUGCAGCACAUCAACCUCCCUCCUUCCCUCCCUGUUUUUUUUUUUGUUCUGUUUGUUUACGGGAAGCAGUUGAGGGGCGCAACACAUCAGACCUGUCAAGUCUCACUCAUCUUAUCUAUGUUUUCUUAGGUUCACCGUGUCCACAUCAACAUGUUCCUGCAGUCACAGAUGACAGCAUGACAGCUCUUAGCCAGACUGACACAACAAAUCAGUACAUUUUAAACAUCAGAGUGCAGCAUGAGGCCUGUAAACAAACUGUCUUGUGACUGCUGAUCUCCACCAUUUUGUUAAAUUCAGCCCAGAUAAACAAAGUUAACCUUUAGUUGCAUGAAAAUUCCCUCUGACUGCAGAAAGGCCUUGCCAUGUUAAGAUAAAACCUGUUGCUAGUGGCAACAGCACAGAGAUACACUCCAUCACAAUGACACUGCUGUGACUGUGGACAAGAUAAAUAUCACCAAGUCUCUUAAAUUCCUUUGGAUUUCUUGAUGUUGCCGCUAAAAACAUUAUAAGUGAUAUUCAUGUGUUACCUUCAGUCUGAAGGCUGACACAAGCCUCUGCAGGAUGAUACAAUUUGACAGGUUUUGGGCCAUGAAACUAUUUCAGUAAACUCUGUCUUAAAAACCAAGGCUAUUCUGAAGGUUGCAAGGUUUUCACCAGACAGCAACAAUCUUUUAUCUGUGGUGAUUAUUGGAAUUGUGAGUCUCAGAUUCAGUUUAUUUACAGGCACAGACCUUAUUGUCUUUGCCUUGGAGUCCCUGACACAGGCCUCAUGCAGAAACUGUUCCCUGUGGUGGUGCAAAUGUUUGAUCAGGUUUUCCUUUAUUAUACACACUUGUCUAUUGCUGUACAUAUGUGUCUCUAAUUAAAAUUGGUGCAUUCUGUUAAGUAUGACACUGUAAACAAGGCACUGAAACACAGAGUAGAGAUUAGCUAAGUUUCUGUGCCUGGUACUGGUGACUCACAUUAUUCCAGACCAAGUAAAAUACACUUUUAAAGAACUGUGAUGACUGUCUGUCUGUUAUGAAAACAAGUGACAGAAAGCCUUGAGGUACAUUAUACAGCAACAAGUGAAGCCCCUUCUCUGCAGUCCCACCAAAUGGCAUAACUUCAUCAAACGAACUGUUGGGAAUUGAAAAUGUUAAUCUCUGUGUGUGCUGAUUGUAUGUUAAACAUGUAUGAGGGAAAUAAGAGGUCAGAUUUUAUAUAUAUACACACAUGUAUUAGGGGAAAAUAAAAGCUUGGCUUGGUGUACUAAUCAAGCACUAACGUCAGCUUAGCUACUGUAGCCAGGCAGCAGUUCAUACUGUGGAAGCAGCUGUGUCUCAGUCAGCACGACAGCGCCUGGAUCCUGUAUCCUGCACCAACACGAUGCCCAGCCUGCUUUAAUGCACAGCCAGAGGGUCACUGCUGAUUCAGAGUCUCCUCUCCUGUUAGACUGUACGAUCACUACGACCUGUGACUACUUGAAGCAACUCUGACCAGAACGACAUCAAGAACAACAACGGAGAAAAAGGUCCGAAACAUCACAACUGAGGAGAUGCAGACGUGGCUAGCGACACAGGCGCCUGGAAGAAAGUGCCCUCAAAGUGAACCUAAUCAAUGUCAUGUUGUUCAUUAGAAAAUGGAAAGAAACUGUGUAGUAAGCAUUACUGAUGGAAAGCUGUUUGAGAUUUAUUUCUGUCUUGUCCAUUGUGUUUGUCAUUAAAAUGCUUAAAUGAUUAAAUUGGUCUUAGUAUGGUCAGACCAAACUGAAAACAAUAGUGUUGUUGUGCCCUCACUAAUCCUUCUCUGUGUUGUAAGUCCCUUGUGAGAACUUUUUUUCUUUGCAGGUAUGCUCUGUGUGAUGUUGUGUGUUUUACUUCACUGUAAGUGUCACUAAAAUGCAGAAAGAACCUUGGACAGAGAGGUAAUGGAAUAAAAAUGCUUGAUUGUG